UAUUUUUACUGUAGCAAAACGUCUUUUCCGCACCGCCGAGAGCCGCUCCCGCCGCCCCAAUGCGCCGCCGCCUCGACUGUGAUCACACUCGCCGCCACCGCGCUCCGCUCACAUGUGAGCGCCUAGACGGCGCCAUCAUCGGCCUGACCCUUGCUUACGCCGCUGUCCGCACGAUCGUCAAGUUCACCUCGAGCUCCUCCACUCUCCACAAGCUCCAAGACGCCCCCUCGGUCCGCGUUGCCACCUACGGUCCGUGCUCUCCCUCAAAGGCGGUCCGAUUCGGAGCCCGAUUCGUCGAGCCGGUCGGAACGAAGGAUCUCGUGAUCGUGCGUGGCCUCGUGGAGGCGAAAUCGGCUGUCGAAGGAGGGACGUGGAAGAGCUUGAGGCAGAAUGUGUUGGUCUCGCAGGACUGCGACAGUAGGGCGGUGAUCGUACAGAGGACUCAAACGAUGAGUGUGUGUACACGCACUCUUUUGGAUUAAAACAUGAAGAUGUGUACAAGGGGUAAAUGUAUGUCUCAUGAGCAGAUAUUCUAUCCGUGUGCUUUGCAUCAGUGUAAGCAAGCCAUGUCUUUUAUUGCCCACUUCAGUCAAUGGAUGUUUCGUCUUCUCUUUCAAUACCACAUCGAGGAGCCCUUGUGAAUUUGUGUAGUUAGUCUUGGAAAUGUCAUAGUCGUUACUACUUCCUUUUUGAAUGGUUGGUCUCAAUAUAAGUGGAUGUCAAGGCAAGGAGGAUUUCAUGAUUUGUGGGGAGGCUGCAUCGAUGACUUAACUGCAUCAUCUGGUAUAAGUGCAUUUGCUGGGCAUAUACAAUGAGUGGAAGGGGUUUUUCGGAUGGAGUUCAGAUCUAGGGGCUAUCUUGUCAGAUUAUUGUGGGAACAAAAAUCCUCAUCGCUAAGAAUGGUUCCUUUUGUAGUCAUUGAUGGCAGUCAGUGGCCAGUAGCAGAUUAUGUUGUUGUGAACAUGGAUGGCUCAAGGCUUCAUCUACCUCUUACCACAUUAUGUCACCAACUACAGCUGAUGAAUUCUUCUCUCCUUACACAUUCCUCCAGGCACUUUUUGGUCGUAAAUACCCUAUGGAAAAAGUGGAGGCAACGUAGACAGGAUGAGCAGGAGUAGCAGGAGCAACAGCAGUAGAGCCAUGCUGCAGUUGAUGAGCCCAACACUCUUGCGGAGGAUGAUCGGGAGAUGUACCAGAUGGAUUGUUACGUGUAAUUUGUCUA